rnacentral:rRNA from 1 species
UACGUAGGGGGCAAGCGUUGUCCGGAUUUAUUGGGCGUAAAGAGCUCGUAGGCGGUUUGUCGCGUCUGCUGUGAAAACUCGGGGCUUAACUCCGGGCCUGCAGUGGGUACGGGCAGACUAGAGUGCGGUAGGGGAGACUGGAAUUCCUGGUGUAGACGGUGAAAUGCGCAGAUAUCGGGAAGAACACCUAUGGCGAAGGCAGCUCUCUGGGACGGUACUGACGCUGAGACGCGAAAGCGUGGGGAGCGAACAGG